rnacentral:lncRNA from 1 species
ACACCCCGCCACACCCCGCCCUGGCCCUGAGGCUCCACCGAGGCCGCGCCCAGAGGCUCCGUCUUUGCAGGGAUUCAAAGCCUUCGCGGUGUUUAAUUUGGUGGCAGGCUCCAGUAGGCUAAGACCAGAAGUUCUGGAGCUUGGGGUUGAUGCUCUUGUUCUGGGAGUGUUUGUGGUGACAUAUUGGGGCCUCGACAGCAAGGUUGGCCUCUGUCCCACAAGGACGAGGACUAGGAUGCGGGGUCCGAGCACCAAGUAGCCAAGCUGAGGAGCGGAGGGAGACGGCUGCACCCAGAGGAAGCCCUCCCUGGCCUGCAGGAGACUGGACCUCCCUAGCCAGCGGCUGCCUCGCGCCUUGGGCCGCGCCAGGAGGCUGCCCUGCCUGCCUGGAAAGGGCCCUCCCAGCUUCCUGCGGCCUCUAGCUCCCCGGCCCCGCAAGGACCAGGCCCUAUUUUGCUCCCUACUCGCCCUCCUAGGCCAGCUUUCCACCCAGCAGCCUCAGACCCGGGGACGCUCGCUUCCCGCCCAAACUUUCCUUUCCAGCUGGACUUUGCGGGGAGGCUGGGACCUGAGUUCAGAGAGGCCCUGCAAGUCUAGAUUCUGCUUUAGGAUAGGGGUUAGCUUUAAAACCAAAAAGCCAGCCUCCUUUGGGGUGAAGAUGGUUGCAGAGUUUACAGUCCCUCCACACUCUUCAAACCUCACCCACAGCAGUCCCCAGUCACAGUCACAACACCUAGACUUCCCCAGAAAUCUCAUGGCUUCCCCUAACUUGCAGCCUCACAGGGUGACUCCAGCGCUUUGCUCCUCUGAAAAUCUCACUUGCUCUAGGUGAAUGGCCUCAGGUUAUCAAGGACCCACUGGCAAACUCGUUCCUACCCAUGGGUCAAGGAAGAGCCCUGGGAACUGUACCAGAAACAAAGUCUGAGGAGGGAAAAGCAGCUCUUCCUAGGUAGGACACAGGACCGGUUCCUUGGCGGCACUGGGCCGGUGAGUCAGAGAAGGAGUUGAGAGCUCAGGAGCAGCCUCAGGCCACACCAGGUUUCAGUGGCCUAGGCCUGCCCACAGGAUGUGGCCAUUGUUGAUAUGUUGUGUCCAGCAGCUCAGAUUUUCCUAUGAGGGCAAGACAUUGGAGCGCAAAAGGGGGAGCCUCUGCCCUCUAUCUCUUACUCCUUACAUAGGACUCCAGGAGACAGAGCAGGACUUGUCCUUCCAGACCUGGGCCCAGGCCUCGCCCAGCCUCUCCCUUGAUCUGGGAGCUUUGCUUCCAUGAAGAAAGGGUGCUGGACCUGUGAACUGGGGCUCCUAGCAAAAGAAGCAGCUGCACUUAGCCUAUCACACUCUCACCCACCUUACGGAGCCCCGGGCCUACAGGCUGGCCAUGCAAACCUGGGUGCCCUCCGGCUUGCCAGAAUGGGAGAACAGAGCCAGAGAGGCCUGGAUGCCCAAGCCCGGAUGCCCAAACCCUUGGCACUGGGGGGGGGGGUCCCUGCACCCCACGCGUGUUUACGUCAGUGCCCCCUUAUCUUAUAUGUAACAGCAAUAUAUAUGUUAAUUGAAAACUUCUGAAUUUAAAAAGGUUGUGACAAGUUAUAAUUUGUCCUGUCAAUGCCUGGAAUCCUUAUUUAUCUCUUUAGCUUGCCUCCCGCUCGCGCCUGUCAGCUAACAGCUUGCCUAACUCGUUGACUUCCUCACUCAUGGCACGGAAAUGACAAAUGUGCUGUUUUAUCCGUACAAUUUAUUUCAUUAUUGUUGCCAGCACGAAGCAUCACAAUCAAUCAUAAGGAAGUCCAGUUGGCAGGUGUCAAUCUUGGUGUGUUUUUGUACGUCUCAGUCUAUAUUUAAUCCAAUUAUAAGGGUCACGGAGUAAGUGCCAAUCCUCUUGUUACAACUCACAUCUUAUUUAAGAUUUAAAGUAAAAAAGUCAACUCGAUCACAUGGACCUUUUGGGGGAAGGGAGGGGACUCAGUUGAAACCCCCUCAUCUCCCUCUCUCAGCCUUCCCCUGGCCUCCAAUUUAAAUUAUGCAGCAAUCCUUUUUUAUUAAAGGGUUGCAGGGAAUCCGAGUUUUAUGAGCAUUUGUGUGCAAAUGAAGGCUCUCCUUAUUUUGCUAAAGUAGAAGCAAGCUUAAUGAUGAGAGAUCUUUCCGCUCAUUGCCCAUUCAAAUACAAUUGUAGAUCGAAGCCGGCCUUGUCACGUUGAGAAAAAGUGAAUUUCUAACAUCCAGGACGUGCCUGUCUACUUUCAGUGAAUUGCAUCCAAUCACCCCCAGGGAAUUCAGCUA